CUACUUGGGAUGCUGAGGCUGGAUAAUCCCUUGAACCUGGGAAGCAGAAGAGGUUGCAGUGAGCCAAGAUUGUGCCACUGCACUCCAGCUUAGGUGACGAAAAGAAAAUUGGAAGGAAAUUUCACAAACAGAGAAAGACCUUUCUUCUUACUACUUUGAGAAACCUGUGAAGUGAAAUCAUUGGCUCAUGAUCACCCAUGUCUCCCAAGACAUCUUCUUGCCUACUCUGCAGGAGGCUGGAGCCAUGUCUGAGCAGCAUGAGAAAGCCUACAUGAGGCCCCUGGCACAUCCGAGGUGUGUGGGGCACCGGGGCCCCCAGAAGAGGAGCCUUUGGAUCUGAUGGGAGCAAGGGCUCUACUGAGGCUGCCAGAGAUGCCCUCGGUAAUGGGGGUGACAUAGAGGUGCCAGCACAGCCUGUCAGGCAACGAGGGAAGGAGGGACGGUGGGUCUGACUCAAAGGACACGAGCUGCCUUUGCUGUAGUGCAACCGUGGCCCAUUGCUCAUUGUGCUGCUCUCAGGACUCAGAGUAUGGAAGCGGGACCAUUGCCGUUACAAACCCGCAGGGAAGGGGCUGAGCACCCGGAGGGCUGUGUGUGCACACAUGACGUUAUCGGAGUCAGGAAGGCAGCCAGCCGCGAGGAGAUGGGAAACUGGUCCACGGCACCCGGGGAGACCUUCACAGCCCACGCAUUAGCCCUCGUCAGCCGGUGUCCCGGCGCUCCCCACAAACCCAGACUCUCUCCUUGGCUAACAAUGGCCUCCACCAGCCGACCUCUUUGAGCCUCUGUGUUCUCAUUUCUUCCAUCUGCCACACAUGAUGCCACAAGGUCCCUGCUCUGUCUCUCCAACAUGCCACUCAUUCCUGACUCACAGCCUUCAUGCUCACACCCCUCCCUUGUCCUAUCCUCACUCUCAGUCAUCCUGUUCAAUGCCUUCAUGGCACUUAUCAUAAGCUCUUACGAUCAUGUUUAUAGGUCUGGUUUCAUUGUUGCUGUAGGGGGGUCUGUCUCCCCCAUUUAGGCCUAACAGGCCAGGAAUCUUGUCUGUCUGAUUUACUCCUAACAUAUGUUAAGUGUUCAAUAAAUUUUUGCUGAAUAAAUGAAGGAAAAAAAUCAU